GAUGAAGAACGCAGCGAAAUGCGAUAAGUAAUGUGAAUUGCAGAAUUCAGUGAAUCAUCGAAUCUUUGAACGCACAUUGCGCCCGGCAGUACUCUGCCGGGCAUGCCUGUUUGAGCGUCAUUUCAACCCUCAAGCUUUGCUUGGUAUUGGACAUUGCCAGUUUCUGGCAGGUCUUAAAAUCAGUGGCGGUGCCAUUUGGCUUCAAGCGUAGUAAUUCUUCUCGCUUUGGAGAUCCAGGUGGUUACUUGCCAAUAACCCCCAAUUUUUUCAGGUUGACCUCGGAUCAGGUAGGGAUACCCGCUGAACUUAAGCAUAUCAAUAAGCGGAGGA
rnacentral:misc_RNA from 1 species